rnacentral:snoRNA from 1 species
ACCCCCUGGCAAUGAGCAAAGAGACACCUCAUUGGUGGUGUUGCUCUUUUAUCAGUCAGGGGCAGAGCAGAUGACAGUCCUUUGUUUGUCCUAGCUUGAUGCUUGGGUCAGUGGCCAAAGCUGUUUCAUGCCUAGGGCACAUUU